rnacentral:rRNA from 1 species
AGACACAGGAAUGCCCAGUACGGCGAGUGAAGCGGCAACAGCUCAAAUUUGAAAUCUGGCGCAAGCCCGAGUUGUAAUUUGUAGAGGGUGCCUCGGGAGCGGUCCGGCCUAAGUUCCUUGGAACAGGACGUCAUAGAGGGUGAGAAUCCCGUAUGCGGCCGGGUGCCAACCCCGUGUGAGGCCCCUUCGACGAGUCGAGUUGUUUGGGAAUGCAGCUCUAAAUGGGAGGUAAAUUUCUUCUAAAGCUAAAUACCGGCCAGAGACCGAUAGCGCACAAGUAGAGUGAUCGAAAGAUGAAAAGCACUUUGGAAAGAGAGUUAAAAAGUACGUGAAAUUGUUGAAAGGGAAGCGCUUACGACCAGACUCGGCCGCGGGGGAUCACCCCCCGCGGCCGGGCCAGCAUCGGUUCGGGCGGCCGGACAAAGGCCUCGGGAACGUACCACCCUCCGGU